GGGCGCGUAGCUCAGCGGGAGAGCACUACGUUGACAUCGUAGGGGUCACAGGUUCGAUCCCUGUCGCGCCCACCA
rnacentral:tRNA from 128 species